UUAUGUCAAACAAGGUUACCACACGACAAAAUUCUUUAAAGGAGGCAUUACCUACUGAGAUGGAGGUGUCAUUCAAUAAGUACUCUAAUACUGGGAUUUCUCAAGAUUCAGGGGAUGCAAUUAGAGAAGUUGAUCAACCAAAAAUGGCAAAAGAAGGUGAAUCGUUUUUUGCAAAAAUUAUCUAGAAGAGUUUUAAGGAUCUCUCAAGAUUUAAUCAAACCGAGGAACGUUGGAAAAGUAAUGUUUCGGUUAACGGCAUCGUAUCCCUGAUGGUGUGGUCAAAAAAGCUGAAAAGAUGGCUGGAACAAUUCUUCUUGGAAAGCAUAGGUAUGAUUUCCGAGCAGGAUUCUGGGGUGUUCUCGGCGGGCAUUAUCUUGGCAUAAUUCCUCGUUUUAUCGAAGAACUUAAUUAUCCAAUGCCAGAAAAUUGUGCCGGUGGAACCACCAUAUUUAUGAAACGGGAGAGA